ACCUUCCUCCUGAUGGUCAGCACAGAACCUCUGGAAUAGUGCCGUGGAGAGCUGGGAGAGUUUGUCUUUGGACAGAAGGCCCGAGGAAGGUGCGUGUUCCCGACCUUCCUCCUCAUGGUCAGCACAGAACCUCAGGACCGCUGCGGUGGAGAGCUGGGUACAGGAGGCCCGAGGAAGACACAUGUUUCCUGUGCAGACAGGGCCUGGGACAACACGAAACAGCAGAUGUGCAUUUUCAGGGAAUAUCAGCUUUUCUGUAGGACCCUCUGCGGGAGGCCGAGCAGAAGCACGGGACUCACCUUUCAGCUUCAGACCACGGUGAGGGACACCUGCCCUCACAAACUCAUCUUGCCCUAACUCUCUCCUAAAGGAACUGUCUCCAAAUACCAGCACCUUGGGGUCACGGCUUCAACAGAGGAAUUUGGUGGGGGACACAGUUCCAUCCACUGCAGGAGGUGACGGUGCUCAGGCCGUGACUGGGCACUCAGUGUGGGUGGCUGUGUCCAUCCUUCCAAGGAACCAAGACACUCCAGGAAAUCUUCAGGUUGAAAUUGUCAUGACUCAGAACAGCAGGAAUGGGUACCUGGCACCUGCCAUCGGGAAGAGCAGGCCAGUUGGCUCCGGCAGGCGCUGGACUCACAGGCUGCCGUGGAGAGGGAUUCAGAGGAGGGCAGGGCUGGCCCCCUGACGAUGAAGGCAACGCACUGAGCACUCUGGCAGGGCCCCCUCUG
rnacentral:lncRNA from 1 species